UACGGAGGGUGCAAACGUUGCUCGGAAUCAUUGGGCGUAAAGCGCACGUAGGCGGCUCGUUAAGUCGGAUGUGAAGCCCUCGGCUCAACCGAGGAAGUGCAUACGAAACUGGCGAGCUUGAAUAUGGAGAGGGUCGCGGGAAUUCCCGGUGUAGAGGUGAAAUUCGUAGAUAUCGGGAGGAACACCGAGUGGCGAAGGCGGGCGACCUGGGCCCAAUAUUGACGCUGAGUGCGAAGCGUGGGGAGCAAAACG
rnacentral:rRNA from 1 species